rnacentral:rRNA from 1 species
UAAGGAAUGCAUGCGAUUGGAAGUGCAUGUCCAAGCAAUGAGUCUUGAGUAGAGUUAAAUGCUUUACUCUUUAAGGACAAGUUGUGACGGGGAGCGAAAUAAUAGUAGCGAAGUUCCUGAUGUCACACUGCCAAGAAAAGCUUCUAGUGAGAAAACAACUGCCCGUACCGUAAACCGACACAGGUAGUCGAGGAGAGUAUCCUAAGGUGAGCGAGCGAACUCUCGUUAAGGAACUCGGCAAAAUGACCCCGUAACUUCGGGAGAAGGGGUGCUGACUUCGGUCAGCCGCAGUGAAUAGGCCCAAGCGACUGUUUAUCAAAAACACAGGUCUCUGCAAAAUCGUAAGAUGAAGUAUAGGGGCUGACGCCUGCCCGGUGCUGGAAGGUUAAGAGGAUGGGUUAGCUUCGGCGAAGCUCAGAAUUGAAGCCCCAGUAAACGGCGGCCGUAACUAUAACGGUCCUAAGGUAGCGAAAUUCCUUGUCGGGUAAGUUCCGACCCGCACGAAAGGCGUAACGAUUUGGGCACUGUCUCAACGAGAGACUCGGUGAAAUUUUAGUACCUGUGAAGAUGCAGGUUACCCGCGACAGGACGGAAAGACCCCAUGGAGCUUUACUGUAGUUUGAUAUUGAGUGUUUGUACCACAUGUACAGGAUAGGUAGGAGCCGAUGAGACCGGA